rnacentral:rRNA from 1 species
GUGGGGAAUCUUGCGCAAUGGGCGAAAGCCUGACGCAGCGACGCCGCGUGGGUGAUGAAGGCCUUCGGGUUGUAAAGCUCUGUGGGGAGAGACGAAUAAGACGUGGCUAACAUCCACGGCGAUGACGGUAUCUCCUUAGCAAGCACCGGCUAACUCUGUGCCAGCAGCCGCGGUAAGACAGAGGGUGCAAACGUUGUUCGGAAUUACUGGGCGUAAAGCGUGUGUAGGCGGCCAGGUAAGUUGGAUGUGAAAGCCCGGGGCUCAACCCCGGAAGUGCAUUCAAAACUGCUUGGCUUGAGUAUCGGAGAGGUUGGUGGAAUUCUCGGUGUAGAGGUGAAAUUCGUAGAUAUCGAGAGGAACACCGGUGGCGAAGGCGGCCAACUGGACGAAUACUGACGCUGAGACACGAAAGCGUGGGGAGCAAACAGGAUUAGAAACCCCGGUAGUCC